GUACACAAAAAUGCACAUACUGUGAGCUCGAUGAGUAGGGCGGGACACGUGGUAUCCUGUCUGAAUAUGGGGGGACCAUCCUCCAAGGCUAAAUACUCCUGACUGACCGAUAGUGAACCAGUACCGUGAGGGAAAGGCGAAAAGAACCCCGGCGAGGGGAGUGAAAAAGAACCUGAAACCGUGUACGUACAAGCAGUGGGAGCCUCUUAAUGGGGUGACUGCGUACCUUUUGUAUAAUGGGUCAGCGACUUAUAUUCUGUAGCAAGGUUAACCGAAUAGGGGAGCCGAAGGGAAACCGAGUCUUAACUGGGCGUUAAGUUGCAGGGUAUAGACCCGAAACCCGGUGAUCUAGCCAUGGGCAGGUUGAAGGUUGGGUAACACUAACUGGAGGACCGAACCGACUAAUGUUGAAAAAUUAGCGGAUGACUUGUGGCUGGGGGUGAAAGGCCAAUCAAACCGGGAGAUAGCUGGUUCUCCCCGAAAGCUAUUUAGGUAGCGCCUCGUGAAUUCAUCUCCGGGGGUAGAGCACUGUUUCGGCAAGGGGGUCAUCCCGACUUACCAACCCGAUGCAAACUGCGAAUACCGGAGAAUGUUAUCACGGGAGACACACGGCGGGUGCUAACGUCCGUCGUGAAGAGGGAAACAACCCAGACCGCCAGCUAAGGUCCCAAAGUCAUGGUUAAGUGGGAAACGAUGUGGGAAGGCCCAGACAGCCAGGAUGUUGGCUUAGAAGCAGCCAUCAUUUAAAGAAAGCGUAAUAGCUCACUGGUCGAGUCGGCCUGCGCGGAAGAUGUAACGGGGCUAAACCAUGCACCGAAGCUGCGGCAGCGACACUAUGUGUUGUUGGGUAGGGGAGCGUUCUGUAAGCCUGCGAAGGUG
rnacentral:rRNA from 1 species